AUAUAUAUCUCCAACGUUUUUUAUCUAAACACAUCUUAAGAGAAACUCAAUCGUUUCCUAUGCUGUUUCACGAGAUCUGUUGGACUACUGUGUUUUGCAAUUUUCUUUUUAUUUAUUUAUUCCGUAACUCAAUAAUUAAAAUAAAUAAAAAGAAACAGAUUCAGUUUUAUCUGAAAUUGUGGUGCAUUAAUGUUCUGUAGCUACCUACCUACUGUAUUUCCACCUGCUGAAAUUGAAGGCCCAACACAAGCAAUUAAUUCUAAUCUAUCUCGUAGCUAACUUUUUCUUUAUAGAACUAACUCAUA
rnacentral:lncRNA from 1 species